rnacentral:rRNA from 1 species
UUGCCAGCCCGCUCAAGAAACUUAAUGAAUUGACGGGGCCCGCACAGCGUGGAGCAUGUGGUUAAUUCGAAGCAACGCGAAGAACCUUACCAGGCCUUGACAUGCAGAGAACUUCCAGAGAUGGAUUGGUGCCUUCGGGAACUCUGACACAGGUGCUGCAUGGCUGUCGCCAGCUCGUGUCGUGAGAUGUUGGGUUAAGUCCCGUAACGAGCGCAACCCUUGUCCUUAGUUACCAGCACGUUAUGGUGGGCACUCUAAGGAGACUGCCGGUGACAAACCGGAGGAAGGUGGGGAUGACGUCAAGUCAUCAUGGCCCUUACGGCCUGGGCUACACACGUGCUACAAUGGUCGGUACAAAGGGUUGCCAAGCCGCGAGGUGGAGCUAAUCCCAUAAAACCGAUCGUAGUCCGGAUCGCAGUCUGCAACUCGACUGCGUGAAGUCGGAAUCGCUAGUAAUCGUGAAUCAGAAUGUCACGGUGAAUACGUUCCCGGGCCUU